rnacentral:rRNA from 1 species
ACUCAAAGGAAUUGACGGGGGCCCGCACAAGCGGUGGAGCAUGUGGUUUAAUUCGACGCAACGCGAAGAACCUUACCCAGACUUGACUUCUACGGAAGCUGUACGAAAGUACGGCGUGCCUUCGGGAGCCGUAAGACAGGUGCUGCAUGGCUGUCGUCAGCUCGUGUCGUGAGAUGUUGGGUUAAGUCCCGCAACGAGCGCAACCCUCGUCCUUAGUUACCAGCCUUCAGUGGGGGACUCUAGGGAGACCGCCGGUGUUAAACCGGAGGAAGGUGGGGAUGACGUCAAGUCCUCAUGGCCUUUAUGUCUGGGGCUACACACGUGCUACAAUGGCCGGUACAAAGGGUUCCGAUGCCGAGAGGUGGAGGCAAUCCCAAAAAACCGGUCUCAGUUCGGAUAGAAGUCUGCAACUCGACUUCUUGAAGCUGGAAUCGCUAGUAAUCGCGCAUCAGAACGGCGCGGUGAAUACGUUCCCGGGCCUUGUACACACCGCCCGU